GACGAACGCUGGCGGCGUGCUUAACACAUGCAAGUCGAACGGUGAACCUGCUUCGGUGGGGGAUCAGUGGCGAACGGGUGAGUAACACGUGGGCAACCUGCCCUCAGCUCUGGGAUAACUCCAAGAAAUUGGGGCUAAUACUGGAUAUGACCGCUGACCGCAUGGUCUGGUGGUGGAAAGAUUUAUCGGCUGGGGAUGGGCCCGCGGCCUAUCAGCUUGUUGGUGGGGUAGUGGCCUACCAAGGCGACGACGGGUAGCCGGCCUGAGAGGGUGACCGGCCACACUGGGACUGAGACACGGCCCAGACUCCUACGGGAGGCAGCAGGGGGGAAUAUUGCGCAAUGGGCGAAAGCCUGACGCAGCGACGCCGCGUGGGGGAUGACGGCCUUCGGGUUGUAAACCUCUUUCAGCAGGGACGAAGCGAAAGUGACGGUACCUGCAGAAGAAGCACCGGCCAGCUACGUG
rnacentral:rRNA from 1 species